rnacentral:rRNA from 1 species
UCAGAACGAACGCUGGCGGCGUGCUAACACAUGCAAGUCGAACGCGAAAGGGACUUCGGUCCUGAGUAAAGUGGCGCACGGGUGAGUAACGCGUAGAUAACCUGUCUUCAUGUCUGGAAUAAUACGCCGAAAAGGGUACUAAUACCGGAUAUUCUUGCUUUUCAUAAGUUAUGCAAGCAAAGGUGGCCUCUGCAUAUGCUACUGCAUGAAGAGGGGUCUGCGUACCAUUAGCUAGUAGGUGGGGUAAUGGCCUACCUAGGCGACGAUGGUUAGCGGGUCUGAGAGGAUGAUCCGCCACACUGGCACUGGAACACGGGCCAGACUCCUACGGGAGGCAGCAGUGAGGAAUAUUGCGCAAUGGGGGAAACCCUGACGCAGCGACGCCGCGUGAGUGAGGAAGGCCUUCGGGUCGUAAAGCUCUGUCAAGAGGAAAGAAGUGUACAAUGGCUAAUACCUGUUGUAUUUGACGGUACCUCUAAAGGAAGCACCGGCUAACUCCGUGCCAGCCGCGGC